AUGGGCAACCAGAUGCUGUGCUGCAUGGUCCUUUGUCUCCUGGGAACAAGCACAGUGCAUAGUGGCAUCACUCAGACACCAAAAUACCUGCUCAGAGAGGAAGGACGAGAUGUGACCCUGGACUGUGAACAGAACUUCAGUCAUGACUCCAUGUACUGGUAUCGACAGGACCCAGGGCAAGGGCUGAGACUGAUCUACUACUCACCAGUUGUGAAGGAUGUUCAGCAGGGAGACCUGGCUGAGGGCUACCGCGCCUCUCGGGAGAAGAAGCCAUUCUUUCCCCUCACUGUGACAUCCACCCGAAAGAGCCAGACAGCUGUGUAUCUCUGUGCCAGCACUCUGGGCAACACCCUCCCACCAAGCAACCAGGCACAGCAUUUUGGAGAUGGGACUCGACUCUCUGUCCUAGACGACAUUUACAAGGUGAAGCCACCCACCGUCACUGUGUUUGAACCAUCCGAAGCAGAGAUUGCCCGGACACAGAAGGCCACACUUGUGUGCCUGGCCACAGGCUUCUACCCCGACCACGUGGAGCUGAGCUGGUGGGUGAAUGGGAAGGAGAUCCGGAGUGGGGUCAGCACAGACCCUCAGCCCUACAAGGAGCAGCCCAACGACAAUAACUCCAGCUACUGUCUGAGCAGCCGGCUGAGGGUCUCUGCCACCUUCUGGCACAAUCCUCGCAACCACUUCCGCUGCCAAGUCCAGUUCUUUGGGCUAGAGGAAGAAGACAAGGUCAUUUGGAAUGACAUCCGCCCCAUGCCCAUCACCCAGAACGUCAGUGCUGAGGCCUGGGGCAGAGCAGAUUGUGGCUUCACCUCAGUGUCCUAUCAGCAAGGGGUCCUGUCUGCCACCAUCCUCUAUGAGAUCCUGCUGGGGAAGGCCACUGUGUAUGCAGUGCUGGUCAGCGCCCUGGUGCUGAUGGCCAUGGUCAAGAGAAAGGAUUCCUGACACCAGCUCAGAGGUGCAGCCAGGAACUUCCAGCCUAUUAUCUCCCCAAUAUGGAUUCCCCUUUUUCCAUUCCUAGCCAGUGCUUCUGAAGAGCUGUCUUAAUCUCUCAAUUCAUCCUCAUAUCCACCUGCUAUAUACUUGCACAGCUGAACACUCAUGACUAAAAUCUUCCUAACCCCAGGGGAUCCUGGUGUGCCUACAUUGACUGAACCAAUAAAAAUGGCCUGUUCUGGCU